rnacentral:sRNA from 1 species
CCCCCUUUUUCGAGAGCUGGGAAGUGUGCCUGCAUGGCAUGAUCGUCAGCUCGUGUCGUGAGAUGUUGGGUUAAGUCCCGCAACGAGCGCAACCCUUGUCUCUAGUUGCUACGAAAGGGCACUCUAGAGAGACUGCCGGUGACAAACCGGAGGAAGGUGGGGAUGACGUCAAGUCCUCAUGGCCCUUAUGGGUAGGGCUUCACACGUCAUACAAUGGUGCAUACAGAGGGUUGCCAAGCCGCGAGGUGGAGCUAAUCCCAGAAAAUGCAUCGUAGUCCGGAUCGUAGUCUGCAACUCGACUACGUGAAGCUGGAAUCGCUAGUAAUCGCGGAUCAGCAUGCCGCGGUGAAUACGUUCCCGGGUCUUGUACACACCGCCCGUCACACCAUGGGAGUGGGCUUUACCAGAAGUAGUUAGCCUAACCGCAAGGAGGGCGAUUACCACGGUAGGGUUCAUGACUGGGGUGAAGUCGUAACAAGGUAGCCGUAUCGGAAGGUGCGGCUGGAUCACCUCCUUUAAGAGCGUGCAUCCUAGUUAGGCGUCCACACUUAUCGGUUUGUUUGAUGUUACAGCCAAGGGUCUGUAGCUCAGGUGGUUAGAGCACCGUCUUGAUAAGGCGGGGGUCGUAGGUUCAAGUCCUACCAGACCCACCAAGUUACGGACGGUGGAAGUCCCCGGGAACGCGGGGGAAAAAAAACCUGAGUUUUUUGUCUUGUGAUUAACUUGUCAUUUUGUGUUUUUUUUUUGGUCGUUGGGGAGUCUUUGGGUGUAGGUGUGUGGUGUGUUUGUGGUUUGUGUUUGGUGUUGUUGGGGUAGAUUUGCGGUAGGGGUUUUUUAGGUGGUAUGAGUGUUGUGUUUGGGGGGGGGGUGUUUUUUUGUUGAGGGGUUGUGUGGUGUGGGGGGGGGGGGUGGGGGGGGGGGGGGGGGGGG